rnacentral:rRNA from 1 species
UACGUAGGGUGCAAGCGUUAAUCGGAUUUACUGGGCGUAAAGGGCGCGUAGGCGGCCACUGCAAGUCAGUUGUGAAAUCUCCGGGCUUAACCCGGAAAGGUCAACUGAUACUGCAGGGCUAGAGUGCAGAAGGGGCAACUGGAAUUCUCGGUGUAGCGGUGAAAUGCGUAGAUAUCGAGAGGAACACCUGCGGCGAAGGCGGGUUGCUGGGCUGACACUGACGCUGAUGUGCGAAAGCUAGGGGAGCGAACGGG